rnacentral:telomerase_RNA from 1 species
AGGAGCGUGUCGCGUUGAUGUGGAGAAGAGAAACUGUAACCUAACCUGAAUCAAUUACCGCCGAGGUGUCCACGGUCGGCUUUAUCAAUUCCGUGACAGUUAUAAGUCAACGCGACGUUAUAUUUUU